rnacentral:rRNA from 1 species
UGGAUGAUGUGGAUUAAUUCGAAGCAACGCGAAGAACCUUACCAGGUCUUGACAUCCCGAUGCUAUUUCUAGAGAUAGAAAGUUACUUCGGUACAUCGGUGACAGGUGGUGCAUGGUUGUCGUCAGCUCGUGUCGUGAGAUGUUGGGUUAAGUCCCGCAACGAGCGCAACCCCUAUUGUUAGUUGCCAUCAUUCAGUUGGGCACUCUAGCGAGACUGCCGGUAAUAAACCGGAGGAAGGUGGGGAUGACGUCAAAUCAUCAUGCCCCUUAUGACCUGGGCUACACACGUGCUACAAUGGUUGGUACAACGAGUUGCGAGUCGGUGACGGCGAGCUAAUCUCUUAAAGCCAAUCUCAGUUCGGAUUGUAGGCUGCAACUCGCCUACAUGAAGUCGGAAUCGCUAGUAAUCGCGGAUCAGCACGCCGCGGUGAAUACGUUCCCGGGCCUU